rnacentral:rRNA from 1 species
UACGUAGGGUGCGAGCGUUGUCCGGAAUUAUUGGGCGUAAAGGGCUCGUAGGCGGUUUGUCGCGUCGGGAGUGAAAACACCGGGCUUAACUCGGUGCUUGCUUUCGAUACGGGCAGACUAGAGGCAUGCAGGGGAGAACGGAAUUCCUGGUGUAGCGGUGAAAUGCGCAGAUAUCAGGAGGAACACCGGUGGCGAAGGCGGUUCUCUGGGCAUGUCCUGACGCUGAGGAGCGAAAGUGCGGGGAGCGAACAGG